GAAUAAGAAGCGAAUUUUGCUAUCGGUUUCGACCCGAUCCUUGGUCAUUUAGGCCCUUAUUCU
rnacentral:tRNA from 1 species